rnacentral:lncRNA from 1 species
AGAUUGUGCCUGCUACCUCUUCACCUUCUGCCAUGAUUGUCUUGCUCUGUUAUUUUGAUUGGAAUGCAAUGGCAUGAUCAUAGCUCACUGCAGCCUUGAACACCUGGGUUCAGAAAUCCUCCCACCUCAGCUUCCCAAGUAACUGGAACUUCAGGUACGUGCCACCAUGCCUGACUACUUUUUGUUAUUCUUUUAUUUUUUAGAGAUAAAGUCUCACUAUGUUGCCCAGGCUGGUCUCAAACUCCUGGCCUCAAGCAAUCCUCCUGCCUUAGCCUCCUGAGUAGCUGAGAUUAUAGGUGUGAGCCACCACACCCAGCUAAACUUUUAAUUUUCAGUAAAUCACUUGCUUUUGGUGGUGGGAACACAAAGGACUCCCGAAACUCCCUGUCUGACAGGGUAGUCAGACAUAAAUAACCUUUAUAGGGCCCAAUAAUACAUUCUCAGAAUUUGUGAAUAAGGUCAAAUAAAAGUCACCCUCUGAGCAAAAAAUCAACGUAAAAUAAAUCAGCUUAGCCAUGUGUAGAAGUUGCCUAACAGAUGGUUUAUAAAUGUGCUGUUGAUAGAGAUACUUGGAAACCAUCAGAGUCAGAUGCAAUAAACAAAGACCAGGCCAGUAAGGCUGAGGGGUCACAUCCCUGAGAUAGGCUCUGAGUUCUCUGCAAGCCUUUCUAUUUAUGAUCAGAAGGCCAUAUUUGUAUGAAUUAGUCUGAGCACACUCUCCGCACUCCUGGGUUAGGCCUCUGAUCUACCCAGGGAGUUUCUCUUAUCUUCCUUUGGCUUGUCAUUUCCUAACUUUCAGCUCCAGUACCCAAUUUGGGUCACAUCUCCAACAUCCCUUUUGCCUCUUGAAGUAAGCUUGACAUCUUAUGCAGAUUUUUGGAGCAUCCCACCCUCAACCCAGAUCUUGUCUUUACACUAAUAGCCCAUCCUUGUCUUGCUCUGGUACCUAAUGCAUAUGGAGCAAUGAGGAAGCAUCUUCAGGAAAGCCUUCCUGGAAUGUGAGUAAUCUGCUCAAUAGUUUUGUUGAAAGUAAAUGAUGAGUCAAUAGAAUGGGGAUAUUCUGCAUGGAGUGUAGAAAAAAAAGAGAGCCAAGAGCCAAAGAUUUGUGGAACUUCAGGAUGGUCCAGAGAUGAGCUAUUCUCCUGACUGUCUGGCCUAGGUGUUCUGGAACUUUUGGCAAACACAACUCUGGAGGGGGAAUGGCUUUGUUAGGUGACAGUGGCUUUAUGACAGCAGCCAUUUUAAUCAUCUGAUUUCUUGUGGUCUGACUCCCAUGCUCACCCAAUAAUCAUCUGGUGGUAUAGUCAUUUGACCUCCCAGAUACCCAUUUCUACAAGGAAAAGAAUGUGCUGACCAACCAUGAGUAGUCCUGAUUACUUGAUGUCCUGUUUCUUACUAUAAUUUAAUAAAUUGGCAUUUUGGCCUCUAGUAAGCUAGUAGUCCCCUGAAUUUAAUUGCCUCUGGGUUCAAUGCUGAACUCCAGUGUCCUGGCCUCCAAAGCAAAUUCUAUCACCCAUUGGAAAGACUCACCAGCCUUUCUGAAGUCUCUAUUAAAUGCAACCACUGUUAUUUCACGAGAAAUGUACUCUCGUGGGUUAUAAACUAAAUGCCAGGAAGGCAUGGACUCAGAGUGAUUUAUAUAUCUUGGAAGGAAAGAAGUGGGAAAUGAAAAAAACUUCACAGAGUAAAUAUUUGAGCUCUUAAAGGGUUUUCAUUCGGCUUAAUGAUUUGAGAAUCAUUUUUCUAAUUAUAAAAGUAAUACAUGUUUAAUGUUGCAAAAUGUGGGUAACAUAGAAAAGCAUAAAUAGAAAAAAAUUAAAACAUGAUUAAGAUUUAGACAGCUGAAGAAGUGAAAGCAUUCUUUUUUGAUGACUUGCAAUCAAUUUUUCUGACACAGGCUGCACUCAAUCACUCAAGCCCAGACCAAAAACUCACUGACAUAUCAGAGUGGGCUGAAUUCACAUAAAGGCAAAAAUUAAAGCUUUGGCUUUAUGUGGAUUGAUUUCUGAGUUCAAACCUUUUAUCUCAUUUUUCUUCAAAUAGUAGCCCAUAGACCCACUGUCAUCAGAACCACCUGGAAGGCUGGGCGCAGUGGCUCACGCCUGUAAUCCCAGCACUUUGGGAGGCUGAGGCAGGUGGAUCACUUGAGGUCAGGAGUUCGAGGCCAGCGUGACCAACAUGGUGAAACCCCAUCUCUACUAAAAAUACAAAAUUAGCCAGGUGUGGUGGCACACACCUGUAAUCCCAGCUACUUGGGAGGCUGAGGCAGGAGAAUCGCUUGAACCCAGGAGGCGGAGGUUGCAGUGAGCCGAGAUCGCACCAUUGCACUCCAGCCUGGACAUCAAGAGUGAAACUCCAUCUCAAAAAAAAAAAAAAAGAAAGAAAGAAAGAAAAGAACCACCUGGGGAAAACUUGUUUGAAAAUGCAGAUUCCUGGGUCCACUGAUGACCUACUGAAUGAAACUCUCUGAGGGUGGGACCAAUAACCUGCAAUUUAAUAUGCUUCUUCGGAGAUUCUUAUGCACACUAGCAUUUGGGAGCCACUUUGAAAAAAGCUUUUUGGGGUGGUGAAAAUGAUGGUCUGGCAAUGUGAAUGUGGGUCCUUUAAAACAUAUCUGAAGGAAUUGGAACCCUUGUGCGUUACUGGUGGGAAUGUGAAAUGGCGCAGUGGCUGUGGAAAAUGAUAUGGAUAUAACUCAGCAAAUUAAAUAUAAAAUUACUGUGUGAGCCAGCAAUCCCACUUCUAGGUAUAUAGCCAAAAGAAAUGAAAGCAGGGACUCAAACAGAUACUUGUACACCGAUGUUAUUAGCAGCAUUAUUCACAAUAGCCAAAAGUUGGAAUCAAGCCAAGUGUCCAUCAACAGAGGAAUGAAUAAACAGGAAAUGUGGUAUGCACCUACAAUGGAGUAUUAUUCAGCCUUAAAAAGGAAGGAAGUUCUGACACAUGAGACAAUGUGGAUUAACCUUGAAGAUAUUAUGCUGGUGAAAUAAGCCAGACACAAAAGGACAAAUAAAGUUUGAUUCCACUUAUAUGAGGUGACUCGAGUUUGACUGAAUUUGACUGUACUCAUAGAGUUGCCAGAGGCUGGAAGCAGGGCAGAAUUAGGGAGUUAGUGUUGAAUGGAUAUGGAGUAUCAUUUGGGGAACAUAAAAAAGUUCAGGGAUGGAUGGUGUGACCAUUGCACAGUAAUAUGAAUGUGCUCAAUGCCAUAAAAUUAUACACUUAAAAAUUGAUUAAAAUGAUAACUUUUUUUUUUUUUUCAGAUGGAGUCUCACUCUGUCACCCAGGCUGGAGUGCAGUGGAGUGAUCUUGGCUCACCGCAACCUCCGCCUUCCGGGUUCAAGCGAUUCUCCUACCUCGGCCUCCCAAGUAGCUGGGACUACAGGCACCUGCAACCAUGCCCGGCUAAUUUUUGUAUUUUUAGUAGAGAUGGAGUUUCGCCAUGUUGGUCAAGCUGAUCUCCAACUCCUAACCUCAGGUGAUCUGCCUACCUCGGCCUCCCAAAGUGCUGGGAUUACAGGCGUGAGCCACCAUGCCCAGCCUAAAAUGAUAAAACUUUUAACUUUUUUGUUUUGUUUUGUUUUGGAGACAGUCUCCCUCUGUCGCCCAGGCUGGAGUGCAGUGGUGUGAUCUCGGCUCACUGCAACCUCCACCUCCCAGGUGCAAGCGAAUCUCGUGCCUCAGCCUUCCAAGUAGCUGGGAUUACAGGUGCCCACCACCAUGCCCAGCUAACUUUUGUAUUUUUUUUUUAGUAAAGACAGUUUCACCAUGUUGGCCAGGCUGGUCUUGAACUCCUGACCUCAAGUGAUCCGCCACCUCGGCCUCCCAAUGUGCUAGGAUUACAGGCGUGAACCACCGCACCCGGCCAUUUUUAACUUUUAUAGAGUUAUGUAUAUUUCACUCCAGUUAAAACACACACACACACACACACACACACACACACGUGUCUGUGACCAGCAAUUCCUUUGCUUUGCCUGAAGUGGAAAUAAAAAAGGCUCUCACCAGGAAGCGACCACAGAAGUGUGGGUCAAGUUCAAGCUCAGAUGCAGAAGGUUAUAACCAUCUCACAAUGUAUCUUGCAUCCAGCCUUAUUGGAAGACAAGGGCUUCCAGGUUACUUUACAUUGUGAUUUAAAGUGUUCAGCAAACUAACACAGAAACAGAAAACCAAAUACCACGUUUGCACUUAUAAAUGGGAGCUGAAGGCCGGGCGUGGUGGCUCACGCCUGUAAUCCCAGACUUUGGGACGUCGAGGAGGGCAGAUCACCUGAGGUCAGGAGUUUGACACCAGCCUGGCCAACAUGGUGAAACCUCUUCCGUACUAAAAAUACAAACAUUAGCCAGGUGUGGUGGCGGGUGGCUGUAAUUCCAGCUACUCGGGAGGCUGAGGCAGGACAAUCGCUUGAACCCGGGAGGCGGAGGUUGCAGUGAGCUGAGAUCUCGCCACUGCACUCCAGCCUGCCUGGGCGACAGAGUGAGACCCCGUCUAAAAAUAAAUGAAUAAAAUUUAAAAAUAAAAAAUAAGGGCCUGGCGUGGUGGCUCACGCCUGUAAUCCCAGCAUUUUGGGAAGCCGAGGCAGGCGGAUCACGAGGUCAGGAGAUCCAGACCAUCCUGGCUAACACGAUGAAACCCCAUCUCCACUAAAAAUACAAAAAGAAAUUAGCCGGGCGUGGUGGUGGACGCCUGUAGUCCCAGCUACUCGGGAGGCUGAGGCAGGAGAAUGGCGUGAACCCGGGAGGCGGAGCUUGCGGUGAGCCAAGAUCGCGCCACUGCACUCCAGCCUGGGCGACAGAGCGAGACUCCGUCUCAAAAAUAAAUAAAUAAAUAAAUAAAUAAAUAAAUAAAUAAAUAAUAAAAAUAAAUGGCAGCUGAAUGAUGAGAACACAUGGACACAUAGUGGGGAACAACACACUGGGACCUGUCGGAGGGUGGGGUUGUGGGAGGAGGGAGAGCAUCAGGAAGAAUAGCUAAUGGAUGCUGGGCUUAAUACCUAGGUGAUGGGUUGAUCUGUGCAGCAAAACACCAUGGCACAUGUUUACCUUUGUAACAAAACUGUACAUCCUGUACAUAUACCCCUGAACUUAGAAUAAAAGUUGGAAGAAGAAAAUUAAGGUGUUCAUUUAGGGCUGCAAAUCUAGAUUUUGUUAGUGAAAAGUUACCAAGGUCCCUGAUUGGCCCAGCAUGACAGGAAUUAUAGUCCGGAGCUCAAAGCAGAAACAAAAGCCAACAAAAGAAUGCUGUUUUUUUCUAGUAUUUGAAAACCUUAGCUAACAGUUAUAUUAAGCUGGAAAUACUUAUGUCUUCUACUAAAAAGCCCUAGAUUUAGAAAGCCUAUGUUGUUCUCAGGGCAUCAUUGGUUGAUGCUAAUCCAUAUUUUCCCUCUUCUUUACUGUUGGGAAACUGACCAAUUUUACUACAUAAAAGGGGCAGAUUCAAGUGGUUUGCAAGCUAUUUAGAGUAACUUUUUGACAAGUGUAGGCUGCUUUAGCAAAAAGCUUGGGAAGGCUGGAGGCAGAGUCAUUGGAGAAGUUUUAAACUCAAUAAAUCACAAUACAAUCUCACUAAAAACUCUGAAUUAUGGAUUUCUGAGACUUGAGAUUAAUUUCCUCAAAUGCAAGAAGUUAAUAAGUGGCAGACCAUGACAGAGUAGAUCAUGGCAGACCUCUUUUAAUGUAAUGACACAAAUCUGUUUUUGUUUUUAGGAUCUGCCCUUAUUUUCAAAUACAAAUAUCCCUCCCAAUUUGUUGAACCAUAUUCCCCUUUUAUCUGCCAGCCUUGGGCAGACUAAACCCCAGAGCCUCAUAUAAGAAGACUCUGACAUGGGAAAAGACUCUCACUACAUUGUUAACUCAAAUAAAUACAUGUAAAAUAGAAAUGGACUAUACAGUAUGUGCCAGUCAUGUUUUUUUUUGUUUGUUUGUUUGUUUUUUUUGAGACGGAGUCUCGCUCUGUAUCCCAGGCUGGAGUGCAGUGGCCCGAUCUCGGCUCACUGCAAGCUCCGCCUCCUGGGUUC